rnacentral:rRNA from 1 species
UACGGGGGGGGCAAGCGUUGUUCUGAAUUACUGGGCGUAAAGGGCUCGUAGGCGGCCAACUAAGUCGGACGUGAAAUCCCCAGGCUCAACCUGGGAACUGCGUCCGAUACUGGAUGGCUUGAAUUCGGGAGAGGGAUGCAGAAUUCCAGGUGUAGCGGUGAAAUGCGUAGAUAUCUGGAGGAACACCGGUGGCGAAGGCGGCAUCCUGGACCGACACUGACGCUGAGGAGCGAAAGCCAGGGGAGCAAACGGG